UGUAACGGGAAAGUGGAGAAAUUGUUGAUGAUAUUUGAGUACAUGCGGAAGAGAGAAAUGGAUGUUAGUAUUGUUACGUAUACUAUUGUGAUUCAAGGGAUGUGCAAGGUUGAUAAGGUGGAAGAUGCUUUUGAUUUGUUCUGUAGCCUUUUCUCCAAGGGAAUGAAGCCUACUGUUGUAACGUACACUACAAUGAUAACGAGAUUUUGUAGGCGGGGACUAAUCCAUGAAGCUGAUGCGUUGUUUAGGAAAAUGAAACAAGAUGGCUUCUUACCAAAUGAGCGUGUGUCUUAAGUAGGUGACAUCGGGAGUUGAACUCAUGCUGAGUUAGAGAUACCAUGAUGCUUUUGAUCUCAAGCAGUUUCGGGAGAGGACACACAGGUUAUAGUAUAUAUCAGGUGUAGUUUAGAUUUGCCAUACGUCGACAGCUACAUGAGUUCUGUAAUGAUUCAUGGUACAAGGAGAUGGCAUGUUGACAGUUUUUUUUUCGUUGAAGACUUGUUUCUAUCUUCAAGGUGCUGCAUUAUUGAAGUGGAAUAGUAUUCUCUAGAAAUAUAAUCAAUGUAUAGAUAGAUAGACGAGAAGGUAUAUGUGUGUAGGACAUGUAAAGAUUGGUCAAGAAGCUUGUUGAGCUUUGUGUCUUAUGAAUCUCUCUACUGGUGUAAAGGGAUUUAGAUUUUGUGAAGAAAUCCUUUUGGACUUUAAUGAAUGUAAACUACGACAUUAUUAUC